UGGGGAAUAUUGGACAAUGGGGGAAACCCUGAUCCAGCAAUGCCGCGUGAGUGAGGAAGGCCUUAGGGUUGUAAAGCUCUUUCGCCCGCGAAGAUAAUGACGGUAGCGGGAGAAGAAGCCCCGGCUAACUCCGUGCCAGCAGCCGCGGUAAUACGGAGGGGGCUAGCGUUGUUCGGAAUUACUGGGCGUAAAGCGUACGUAGGCGGAUGCGCAAGUUGGGGGUGAAAUCCCGGGGCUUAACCUCGGAAUUGCCCUCAAAACUGCACGCAUUGAGACCGAGAGAAGUAAGGGGAAUUCCUAGUGUAGAGGUGAAAUUCGUAGAUAUUAGGAAGAACACCAGUGGCGAAGGCGCCUUACUGGCUCGGUACUGACGCUGAGGUACGAAAGCGUGGGGAGCAAACA
rnacentral:rRNA from 1 species